GCCUCUGUAGUUCAAUGGAUAGAACAGUCCCGUCCUAAGGGAUAGAUAUCAGUUCGAUUCUGGUCAGAGGCA
rfam:Parcubacteria (Nomurabacteria) bacterium GW2011_GWE1_35_16 TR64_C0020, whole genome shotgun sequence.